CCCGCCCCCCGCCGCGCCACCGCCGCUAGGGAUUCGCUGAGGCGCGGCGGCCCCCGGCGCGGCGUCCGCUCCGGACAACGGGGCCCGGGUCCCGGGCUUCUCGGGGCCUGAGCCUGGCAGGCCGCUCAGCGCCACAUCCCCCGCUCGAUGGGUCUAGCCUGAGAGCCGGCCGCGCGUACCGAGGCGGGACGGGGCGGCUGCUGGCGGGACGCGGGGCGCUUCCGCGAACCUCGUCGCUUCCGGCUUCCGGGUCGCGGCCCUGCGGCCCCCGCGGGAAGGAGCGACGCGGCGCUGAGGCCGGUUCUCGCUGCGGUCGUGUGGGUCAUCGCGGCCGUCGAGAUGUUCAGAGAACAGAAGGGCAGGGCUGAGUGAACAAGAAGCGGAUUUCACUUGUGCAGUGGGGGUAACGCUUCACGAAGAAGUUCCCCGACGGAUAAAAGCUCUGAAGUUCUCUCUGUCUUGUUACGAUGAUGAUGUACUACGGAAGGAGCAGCAGCAGCAGCAGCAACAGGCGUUUUGAUCUUCUCCUGGGAAGUAUGAGCUUGCAGCUGGGGAAUGUGUGAGAGCGAAGGUAUUGGGGGGGGGGGGAGACACCCCCUGGUCCUGAUUCUGCGCCUUGAGGAUUGCUUUGGGGCAUUCUUUGAGACUUUGGGGAAAAAAAUCGGGAACUCUACUGAGGAUGGCGAGAAUCAAAUAAAGCCCUUGAAGUAACUUUGCAAA